GGAAAGGCAACUCGGUCAUCCCUUCAGCUCCAAUGAUGAACUUUGUGCGUGCCCAGAUCAAGAAAGCAGCUGACGAGACCGAGACUAUUCUGGAAACAACCCCGGCUGGCAAAAGCGAUGGGGAAGGUGCACUUCGAGAAUUCAUUAAGGUUCACAUCUCCUUCAAACUAGCACUUAACAUUUGUUGGUACGUUCCAUGUCUCAUUCACUUGUACAUGUUGCAGCGCCAGGGCCAAAAGUUAAGGCGGCUAUCAAACCUUUUCGGUUGUCGUGUCACCUGAACGGUCUAGGUCGGCGACACCAUCAGAUCCCGCUUCGGGGCAGAGCCAUGGUGAACCUUUCACGGAUGAGGAUGUGGGUGGGGUCACCCAAGAGGUUGCUGAUGAUAUGACCUUGGGGACGUACCGGGCUCGGUCUGCAUACGAGUUGAAGCCUAGGAGGGGAA